rnacentral:lncRNA from 1 species
UGAAAUCACCUUGGGAGAUAAGACUAAUUUUGGAGCAGAUUCAAGAGAUAUCACAUGAUGAAUGUUUUACUUUUGUUCACAUAGACAGAAAAGUUAAUAUGGUGGCCGACCUGUUGGAAAAUUUGGGAGAGAGUUUGAAGGAUCAUAUGGGAUCAUAUGGUUUUCGACAGCUUGACAAACGGUCCAUACCAUGUUAGAGUUAUUGUAUUGUUGAAUAGAUAAGGCAUACCCAACUUUAGAUUCAGCCAAAAAGGAAUUAGUUUGUUGUGAAAGAUGUUUCUAAUGGAUAAAACAGUUUUUUUGUGUUCCUAGCAUCAAUAGGAUAAGGCCGUUAAACGGGACGGGCCGUCCCAUCUCGGUUAUCCCAUAUUAAACAGUACACGGGAUGGGAUGGGAUGCUCAUUUCGUCCCGUUUAUUCCAUCCCGUCCCACACGUCCCGUUUGUUAUUUAAUCUUUUUUUUUUUGAAAUAGAGUCGUCGGGCAACGGCUAUAAACAUCCAUAUUGAAAAGUAUUAAAGACGAAGAAGGCAAUAAACAACUUUCGGCGUGGUAGAGGGAGCGUGGCAAGGAUUUUCUAUCACUUUCAAUAAUGACCCGAGAUAUUCUCACUAUUUAAGCAUUGGAGAGCGCAUAUAGCAACACGAUUUUAAAUCGGAGCUCAUAGACAUUCAUUAGCGGAGGAUAGCCUAGAAAUUUCCGUAUUAUUCAGAGCUUGGAUUAAUUCAGAAAGAAGAUAUCUUGCAUUUGAAAAAUUAACCACUAGGAAAGAAGAAGAAGAAGAAGAAGAAGAAGAAGAAGAAGAAGAAGAAAAAGAAAAAGAAGAAUAUAAUGAGAUACUUAGCACUGGAAGCGAUAACGACAUGGAACUCAUGGAACAUCAAUCAACGAUUCAACAUUGGCAAUUCCAGAAUAAUGUCCGAGAAAAAUUACAUUUAAAUUAUAACGAAGCUAUAUAGGAGCUUACAUAUUAGUAUGAUGAUUUGUAAUUGGCUACUAAGAGGCCUAGUUCAAACAAAACCCUUCCUAGAAAGUGGCUGCAUAGAUUAGGUGGUCAUCAAAAGAAUUAUAUUUGUAUGUGAAAUGUGAAAUUCUAUUAAUAAAAUAAAAAACUCUAAGCA